rnacentral:lncRNA from 1 species
GCCCUGAUGCCCAUUGGCCUGUGGGUUGCAAUAUCAUCAUAAUUCCUACUAAGCAACCCAUUAGCCUCACUCUUGAGGUAUUGCCAACUCACCGAAGUUCCCCAGAACUUCAGACCCACUUCUCCCACUCCUCUGCUGAGGGUAAGCAGAGAAUGAAAGGUACUGCUCCGGAGGACUGUGGCAAACUCUAUACACUGAAGUCAUUUUGUCCUUUCACUGAGCAACUUCCCUGUACCAGGAAUUAGAAUCUGCACAUUGAAAAGGCCCAGAACCCUCCUGCUCUAGUGUGGCAGGCACUUUUGUAAAUGUGUGACCUGCUGGUUUUGCUGGGAUGUGCACAUUUCUAAUAAUGGUGUUGAUCAACAAAGAGGACUUUGCAUGGCAGGGGCGUGCCCUCCCUCCAAAGCUGCUGUUUCAGAGGUUCCUCCACCAUGCAAGCCCUGGACCUGGGACACACUCACAGUCCCUAACAUGGUUGUGUUUUCCUGUGAGACAAGUGCCUCUUCCACCCGAAGAGCAUUUAGUGACUUCAAAUAGGGUCAGCGGUCCAGGCCUGGUGAAAGAGGGCAGGGAGAGAGACCCUGCUCAGCCACGGGGGAUCAGCUCGGGGGGAAAAAGCCUGCUCGUCACAAUGGAAAUACAUCAAGGCCAAAUCUUCUGCUAUCCAUUCCCAGAGGUUUCUUUCAUCUGGAUUAAGCCUGCAACUCCAGGGCAAGGCCAAGUGUGUGGCCUCCAGCAUCCAUGCUCUUC